ACAUUUUUCGGUCUUUCGUUCCAGUGGUAAAGUUUAACGGCCCACUCGUGUGAUAGAUAAGAUCAUGUUAGGAAGAGAAUACAAGGAAACGAGUCAUAGAACCCGGAAGUUCAAUUUAAUUUAGUUUCAUAAUCAUUAUUGUCAUCAUCAUCAUCAUCUUCUUUUUCUUUUUUUUUUUUUUUUGCAUUUUUCCCGCGAAAUGAUCAGUUUAACUUUCAUACCGUUCGAAAACACGGUAUACUACCGCCAUCUUGCCUGCGCGCUAAAAAUGACGUUCAUACAAGGUGUGUGAGCCAAAAGUAUCUAAAAAAAAAUUUUCGAACAAAUUAAUUAUUCUUUUACGAGAUUGCUUGGGUUAAUUUCUUUUUUUUUUGACCUACAUAUCGCAACAAGUGAAAUAAUAGCCAAGGGUAAAGUCUAGGGUACUUUUAAAAUGUUGGAACUUUCGAUGUCUCUAUCCUGUUAUUUGAAUACUUGAAAUAAUCCAAUGGGCAUUCCGAUCAUUCCAUACGGAAUUAAGUUAAUGGAGAUAUGUACUACGAAUUAAGCACGUAACGUUAAAUAAAAGUAAUAUAUAUAUAUAUAUGUGUGUGUGUGUGUGUGUGUGUGUAUAUAUAUAUAUACACGCGUGCGCGCGCGCGUAAUAUAUAGACACGCGUAUGAGAGUGCGUUAAUGUGCGUAAUUAAAUUCGAUUUGACGUACGGCUCCGAGUAAUACACCGAGGCGCAUGCGCGGUGCUCACUUAUUCGCGCCCGAACUCCCUUGAUCGACGCAGCACGUGGUCGCUGUUCUUCUGUGAUCUCUUUCUAUCUCUUUCUAUCUCUUUCUUACUCCUCUCCCUCUACCUCUCUCACUCUCUCUCUCUCUUUAUCUCUCUAUCUAUAUAUCUAUCUGUCUCCUCCUCUGUCUGACUCUUUUUCUCACUAUCUUUUUUCAAUGUCCCUUUAAAAUCAUCUCAAAAGCUUUCUCAUCAGAACGAUUAUAGAUAAACGAAUCUCAUCUAGUUGGCCAAAAUAAUUUUGUCUGGCUUAUAAAUUUUGCCUUAUAAAUGUCCUUCAUUUUCCUCUAUAUAUAAGAAUAAUUAUCUCCUAUAUAAUAUACCCAAAAUAAUAUUUUUAAAAGUUAAUUAAAAGUUCUUAUUAAAAAAUCAAUCUUACGGUUGAAUGUUAAUUCAGUAUACAAUUAUAACGGGGUCAGAUUUAUUGUAAAUAUAACUACAUAUCUCUUAAUUAUAACCCUUAUUCCAUAUUUGUAAUUGAAUGCAUUUUCUCUUAUUAAUAAUACUUUCUUCUAAUUAAUUAGUGAGUUUGAUGUAUUAGAAAGGAUUAAAAGAAAAAAAAGAGAAAGAGAGAAAAAGAAAAGAAAGAAAAGAAGAUAAAAAUAGCGGAUAAUUUUAAAUUUACGUAUUUGAUUUGUCAAAAGGACGAUAAAAAAUAUUUUUCUUAAAGGAAUCAUUAGAUAGAUAUUUUAUCGGUCAACAAGCUAACAUAAAAUAGGUAUUUUCUAUUCUGAAAUCAUAUCGUACAAUUCAUUGACGAUUUUCGCAUGACACAUACUAACACACACACACACACACACACACACAAGUAUAUGCGAAUUACAAUAGUAAAAAUUAAUUGAGGUAAAAAUAAAAACAAAAACAAAUGAUAAAUCUCUAUUCUAAGUAAUAAUGUCGUUUAUAAAUCUCUCUGCUGCGCGAUAGUUGUCAAAGUUUAAUCUUAUUAAUUAUUUCAAAGAUAUAUAUAUGUAAUGUAAUGAUAUAUAUAUAUAUAUAUAUAUAUAUAUAUAUAUAUAUGUAUGUAGAUGUAAAUUAACACUUUGCGGUAUUCAUCAACGGAAUCUUGUAGCUUAGCAGCGUAGACUUUAUCAAUAAACAAAUGCAUUUUUGAUAGUAUAUAUCUAUCUAAUAACGUCAUAAAAGAUGGGCAACUUUAAAUUGUAAAGAAAAAAUUAUUUCUGCUACGACGUAGAAUUAAAAAUUGAUAAAUAUUAAACUCUAUUAAACGCUAUUAAAUUCGAAUUGAAGAAUAAUGUGUAGAAAAAUCGAUUAGUCAAAUUUUAAAGUCCUAUGAAGAAGUAUAAAUAUAUAUUUAAGUAAUAUUUAAAAUGCCAUUAACUAUCGGUUUCAUCAUGUUGAAAUAAUCAAAAAGACAUUAUAUUAUUAAAAAAUCAAUUAUAUAUGUAUGACUUGUUUCAGUUAAAAAUAGAUCAUUAUCAUUGACUGCCUGAGAAAGUAAAGAAUAUAUGUAAAAAAAAAAAAAAAAAAAAAAAAAAAAAAAUAAUAAUAAUAAUAAUAAUUUGGGACGAUAAAGAAAAUCGUCAAGAUCAGGAUUAAAAAAGAUUUAUUAAUUUAUUUUUUUCUCCUAUAUCAGCAUUCAUACAAUCAGAAAAAGGUAUCGAAAAAUAUGUUGUUAAUUGGAGUAUUGAAAGUAAGGAUCACAUUUAGAUCGUGAACCGCAGUGUUAAGGAAAGUAUUUGAUUAGAAAGAUAAGAUUAUAUAUAAUAUCGCGGAUAUACUUUCGGGCGCAAUAGAUUACAUACGAAUAUAUACUCCAGUACAAAUCCCAAAUUCCCAAUAAAAAGAAAAUUACGAAAAAAACAUAUAUACAUAUAUAUAUAUAUAUAUAUAUAUAUAUAUAUAUAUAUAAUAUAUAUGUGUGUAUAUAUAUGUAUGUAUAUAUGUAUAAGAGUAAAACUCGUGAGUGGUAAGUUUAAGAGUAUCGGUAUCAUAACUUUCGCCGUGGUAUAAACUUUUGAACGUGCGCGUGUGUAAAGUUACACGUUAUGCGUUGCUGAUGAAUCCAGUGUUGGUUGGGGCCACGUAAAUAAUUAAAUCGUACGACCGAUCGAGUUUCGCAUCGUGUUGCAUGGAUCGGCUGCAGGAGGCUAGGUACAUACCGCUCAAAGAGUGGCCAGGACCAGAGCGUAAGAUCGUACGAGACGAUGUGACAACGUCGCACGGUCGAUAUGCUCUUUCAGGCAAAGUGCCAAGAUUGGUAAACGUACGCGGGGGUAUAUAGCCGCGGUUUCAGGUGCCCUCACCCCCUCUCCCAUCCAUCUGUCCAACCCCCACUACAACUUAUGGAACUCGCCCGUGGGAUUUCUCUUCGAUGGUGGGGGAUUGGAAAACGAGAGUGGGGGAACCGAAGCUGCGCAGAACCCAGCCAGACAUACUCUCCGAUCCGUGCCUUUGCGCACCUCUUAAAUACAUAUACCCGACACGACCUCCUCUCUAUGUACUACAUAUGUAUUAUACUUAUUAUUUUAAUCAUGAUUUACAGCCGCGCAGCGUUGCCGGCUCUACUCUAUCCAGGCACGCCCACUCCCCCCUUUUUUCAACGUUGCAACCAUGUAUAUUCCCACUACACACAUAGAGAGAAACCAGUACACCUAGAUGUACACGGCAACGUCGCUUGAUCGAUACUUGAGAAACGUAUAUACGUUAAAAAGUCGCCAUUUUAAGGAUAGUUUUCUUUCGCAAUCUCUACUUAUUGAUACAACCCCUCCUCCCCCUUUUUCUCCCCCCCCUUUCUACCCCCUCUUUGUUAUAAUCUAAUUUUUCCCGUGCCGAUUAAUUAUCCCUUCACAUUUUAUACUUCCUUUUUUCCUCUCUAUUUUUUUAUUUUUUCCCAUUGCUCUAUUUAAAAAAUAUCAAAAGCUUUGGCCCCAAAGAACUUCUCUUUCGCAACUAACAAAUGCUUGUUUAUUCUAGACGAUGUCCUUCGUCAAAGACGGAUCAUCGAGGUCGAAAACCGUCAACAACAUUUCCAACGGUUGCGGCGUUGCCAUCGCAAAAUGGCGGGCGCGGCCUUGGUAGCCCGCCUUCUUCUACGUCUUUCCUCUGGGCCAGUCGUUUUGGCAACACUGGAAGGUCGUUAGCGAUCUAUUUAUAGUCGUUCGCCAUUGCCGCUGUUACUAUGCCGAGCGAAGCGCAUACUUGGUUCAAGGGUUGGCGGGUGCGUGGGGGAGGGCAGCGAGGAAUUACUGAAAGAACAAUAUGGCGCUCAACCGGAUGUGCCUUCUUCCAAUCUAUCCAUUCUCUCUCUCGUUCUCGCUCUCUAUCUCUCUUACUCUCUCUUUCUCUCUCUCUCUACUACACCUCUCACCGCCAUUCUCUGUGCUCGUUCUUUCUCUCUCCCGCGCUUUCGCUCUCCUCCCUCUAUUUGUUUCUCUCUUCCCUUCACUAUCUCCGUUCCUUCCAAUCUCCUCCAUUCUCUUCUCCUCCCUCUCUCUUUGUACACUAUCAUAACGACCAAACGAUAUUUAUUUCCUUUUGUAAAAAUAUGCCAUCGCGGAAGCAAAUAUUACGUAACUAUGAAAUCGUCCUGGCCAAUGUGAGUGGCCGCUUAUAUAAAUUUCGCAAUAGAACGUUAACAAGGCGUGUCUCUUUUUCUUGCUAGAGACUAUUAUGUAUACGUAUGUAUAUGGCUAUCAGAUUUAAAUUGAUAUCUUUACUACUGUUGUAUUUGUAAAAAAAAAAAGAAAAAAAAAAAAAGAAAAAAAAUAGAAAAAAAUAGAAAAAAAAGGAAAAAAAAAAUAAAAAGAAAAAAAAAAUAUAAGGAAAAAAGAAAUAAAAAGAAUCAUAGAAACUAGGUAAAAAGCGAAUGGUUAGGGAUUGUCUAGAGAAAAGAAUCCUAUUAUAAAUUGCACAAACGGGAAGCAGGUGAGCUUUCAGAGAAACAUUUUUUACGCGCUUAGUAAAAUUGCAUAUGGCGGCGUUCAGUCGUCGCAGCUGACGAGAAUCGUAAGGUAUUAUACACACACAUACGACGUAAUAUAUAUAUACGUAUAUAUGUAUAUAUGUACAUAGGAUAUAUAUACAUAUAUAUAUACAUAGAUACCUACAUCUAUCGCACAGAGAGCACGCAUGCGACUUGCCCGAAGCCGGGCGGCUUCGGAACAGUUCGGCUAACUUCGUGAAAGUACCUCUUUGUUACAUCACUACUCGGGUUCUUAUGUAGUAUAUAGAUGAGGGUACAUUAUGUACUGCGCCAGUACAUAUUUCCCUGGCGACUCUCGGACCGCCUAUAUACAUACCACCGCGUAUAUAUUUGGCUCCGCGUAUAUACAUACGUAUAUACAUACGCAUGUAUAUAUAAAUAUAUAUGUAUACAUAUAUAUAUACCUGCGCGUCAAGUGACGACGGACGGUCGGUCGGCCUGGUAAGCGCUACCACUACCACCGUCACGACCACACCAUCCUACCCCACCAUCAUCGACGCUACCACCAUCACGGUCCACGUUACACGAUGUGCGCAUUUGUGGAUCAACUGUACGAGGAGCAUGGCUGGCUACAUACCCGCGCGCAUACAUCUACUUAGUUUCCUUUAACGUGAGCACUUCUUCAAGUAAAAAAUAAAAAAAAGAAAAAAACGAAGAAAGAAAAAAAUAAAUAAAUAAAAAGAGAAAAAACAAGAGGAAAGAAAUAAAAACAUCGUUGUGAGGUACAUACGCGUAUCUUCUUGUGCAAGUUCCAAACCUUUCUGGUAGCUUUCCUUGCUUGGUGCAUGUUUCAAAUCCAAAAACACAUUGGAGAAGAAAUCUUCGAAACUUAUGCGAGCUUCAGGAUCGUACUUCAGCAACGAUGACAGAAGACUCUUGCAUUCAUCGGAUAUAGGAGGCACUUCUGGAAUCUGUAUGUUAACGUUGAAAAAAUAAAAAAAAAAAAUAAAUAAAUAAAAAAAAAAUAAAAGAAGAAAAAAGAGAAAAAGAAAAAGAAUACUCUUUAACACAUUUCUAUCGUUAAAAUUAACGUGAUCGCAAAAUUAUAAACUUAUUAUAUUUUAUAUCUAUACACAUUGUCUAACGUAUUUAAUCUGAUAUCUGAUAUCUGUUAUAACUUUUUGUAUAAAUGAAAGAAAUAGAUGAUUUUAUUGUCAUAAUUUUUAUAUUAGAUUUAAGAUCUUAUUCGAUAAUAAAUGAUUAAUCUUUUAAAUAACAAAAGAAAUUUCAGAAAUAUCUUGGAAAAAGAUUCUGUUAACUGUAUGUUGACUGCCAGUUAUUUUCGAUUCUUAUAUUGUUCAUACUUUUUUAUAUUAGACAUUUAAUCUUGUUGGAUGACAAAGUUUUAAUCUUCAAAAUCUUAGGAAAAAGAUACGAACAAAAAAAAAUUCUGCAAAAUUGAGUGCCAGUCAUACGACAAUUCAAUGUGUCAAUCGAUUCCAGAAUAGAUGGAUCAUGAUUUUCGAUCUUAUUGUUAGUCUCUUUUUUUUUGUUUUGUGCUUUUCGUUCAAGCCACCAAAAGAAAGAUAAAAAAAAAAAAAUAAUAAUAAUCUCUUUCGUACAAUCACCUCGAUUGGACGACGUCCUAUCAUUAGCCUCUUCAAUUGUACAGAAUUAGUGACAGAAUAAGGUAGUUUUCCAAAAAGGCACUCAUACAUGAGCACACCGACACUCCAAAGAUCUGUACGAGCGUCGUACUUUUUAACUAAUAAAAUCUCCGGUGCCAUGUAACGUAGUGACCCACGUAAUUCAUAAAUGAAUUCGAUAUUAGUGUACCUUGCGAAACCGAAAUCUGUAAUGAUAAAAAAGAAAAAAAAAAAAAGAAAAAAAAAAUAGAGAAGAAAAAAAAGCAAUCCACGAAAUAAAUCAAAGAAAGAUGCUUAUGAUCGAUUUUUACAAUCGAUAUCUACGAUUGUCCGGAAAGUUCAUAUUAUGGUCUUUCAUCUUCGAUGGAACAGGGAAAUUUAAAUGAAUUGCUUAAAAAAAAAAAAAAAAAAAAAAAAAAAAAAAAAAAAAAAAAAAAAAAAAAAAAAAAAAUUAUAAGUA